AACGCGAAGAACCUUACCUGGGCUUGACAUGCUGGUGUAAGCCGGUGGAAACAUCGGCCCCUCUUCGGAGCGCCAGCACAGGUGCUGCAUGGCUGUCGUCAGCUCGUGUCGUGAGAUGUUGGGUUAAGUCCCGCAACGAGCGCAACUCUCGCUCCCAGUUGCCAGCGGUUCGGCCGGGGACUCUGGGGGGACUGCCGGCGUUAAGCCGGAGGAAGGUGGGGACGACGUCAAGUCAUCAUGGCCCUUACGUCCAGGGCGACACACGUGCUACAAUGCCUGGUACAGCGCGUCGCCAACUCGCAAGAGGGAGCCAAUCGCCAAAAGCCGGGCUAAGUUCGGAUUGUCGUCUGCAACUCGACGGCAUGAAGCCGGAAUCGCUAGUAAUCGCGGAUCAGCCACGCCGCGGUGAAUACGUUCCCGGGCCUUGUA
rnacentral:rRNA from 1 species